AACGAACGCUGCGGCAUGCUUAACACAUGCAAGUCGCGACGGUUGGGGGGCGAACCCUGGCAGUGGCGGACGGGUGGAGUAACGCGUAGGAAUCUAGUCCUUGGGUGGGGGACAACCGUGGGAAACUACGGCUAAUACCGCAUGAUCCCUGAGGGGCAAAGGCGAGAGUCGCCUGAGGAGGAGCCUGCGUCUGAUUAGGUAGUUGGUGGGGUAAAGGCCUACCCAAGCCUACGAUCAGUAGCUGGUCUGAGAGGAUGAUCAGCCACAUUGGGACUGAGACACGGCCCAAACUCCUACGGGAGGCAGCAGUGGGGAAUAUUGGACAAUGGGCGCAAGCCUGAUCCAGCAAUGCCGCGUGGGUGAAGAAGGUCUUCGGAUUGUAAAGCCCUUUUGGCGGGGACGAUGAUGACGGUACCCGCAGAAUAAGCUCCGGCUAACUUCGUG
rnacentral:rRNA from 1 species